AGGAUAAACCGCGAUAGGUCAUCACUUCUGGAAUGGGUAAUGACUUAAGUCUAUAUGGCCCCUGGAUUGGACUGCGGCCGAUCAGGCUGUUGGUGAGGUAAUGGCCCACCAAACCUGUAACCGGUACGGGCUCUGAGAGGAGGAGCCCGGAGAUGGGCACUGAGACAAGGGCCCAGGCCCUAUGGGGCGCAGCAGGCGCGAAACCUCUGCAAUAGGCGAAAGCUUGACAGGGUUACUCUGAGUGAUUUCCGUUAAGGAGAUCUUUUGGCACCUCUAAAAAUGGUGCAGAAUAAGGGGUGGGCAAGUCUGGUGUCAGCCGCCGCGGUAAUACCAGCACCCCGAGUGGUCGGGACGUUUAUUGGGCCUAAAGCAUCCGUAGCCGGUUCUACAAGUCUUCCGUUAAAUCCACCUGCUUAACAGAUGGGCUGCGGAAGAUACUAUAGAGCUAGGAGGCGGGAGAGGCAAGCGGUACUCGAUGGGUAGGGGUAAAAUCCGUUGAUCCAUUGAAGACCACCAGUGGCGAAGGCGGCUUGCCAGAACGCGCUCGACGGUGAGGGAUGAAAGCUGGGGGAGCAAACCGGAUUAGAUACCCGGGUAGUCCCAGCUGUAAACGAUGCAGACUCGGUGAUGAGUUGGCUUAUUGCUAACUCAGUGCCGCAGGGAAGCCGUUAAGUUUGCCGCCUGGGGAGUACGGUCGCAAGACUGAAACUUAAAGGAAUUGGCGG
rnacentral:rRNA from 1 species